rnacentral:rRNA from 1 species
UACGGGGGGAGCAAGCGUUGUUCGGAUUUACUGGGCGUAAAGGGCGCGUAGGCGGUCGUUCAAGUCGAGUGUGAAAGCCCCCGGCUCAACUGGGGAGGGUCACUCGAUACUGAUCGACUCGAAGGCAGAAGAGGGAAGCGGAAUUCCCGGUGUAGUGGUGAAAUGCGUAGAUAUCGGGGAGGAACACCAGUGGCGAAGGCGGCUUUCUGGUCGUGCUCUUGACGCUGAGGCGCCGGAAAGCGUGGGGAGCGAACGAGGAAGUUGAGAUACCCCCUCGU